GAAGAACUUCUUAUUCUUACACAACUGUUUUCUUUACCAGGAGAAAAGCUUAAUUACUGUCUGAUGGAGUAAAACCCGUUGGCUGGGGAAGGGGAAGUCUCCAGAGAUGUGGUGGAAAACGCCAGCCAGCCAGCUGUGUGGGACCCUUGGGCCAUAAGUCCCAGCCAUGGAGUUAAAAUGUGACAUGAAAUCUCGCUAUUAUAUUUGGACUAGAAGAGCUGCAAAGAGCAUUUUCUGUUCAAAUCGCCUAGGAUUAAGUCUCCUCAUGUAGUAGAAUCAAAGUCCUGGCUUCCUCCUCAAGGAGCAUCUCAUAACAAAAGCAUCCAGAGUUCGGGCUGCUUUGGAGGAGCUUCACAGGGAAUUUAACAGAAUGCAGGGUGGAAUGAGGUGAGUAAAGCAGAGGUAAGUGAAGCCCAGGGGACUGAUGGCCUCAGUGCUGGGGAUGUAUAGACAGGGUAAGAGCUGAAGGCACCUUACCCCAGUGGUACAUAUUGGUGAGACUCAGUGUUGCCUAUUGCUUUUGUCUAUCUUAGUCUCAGAACUGAAGGCUGUAGAAAUUAAAUCAAAUGCAUGUUUAAUUAAUUCUUCAGGGUUUGACACCUACACUCAUUUUCCAAAGCCACAGAUCAGAAGAUUUGUGAUGUAAGCUUGUCAACGAUGCUUUGGGCUUUUUAAAUGUCUGAGUGAGUAAAUUCCAUUGGUUGGGCAUCCAGAUGGAAAGCUGCUCAACACCUCCUCCACAUUACCAGUGGAGCAGGAGCUAGACACUAUGUGGAUAUAGAGGUUACUUCCGAUGCAGGCUGGGAGGUGAGGAGAGGGGUUGACAUUGUGCAGGAGUCAGUAACAGAAUUUGUAGACUGAGACUGAGAUUGUGCCUGGCAUACAUGAGCUUAAUCACAUUUUUGAAACAGACAGUGCUUAGAUUUGGUCUCUUCUACUUUUGUCUAUCAAUAAAGCCUUUCUUAAACUGGCCUGUCCUUUAUCAUCCUUCUACUUCUUCUAAUCUAGUGUAUCAUUUUUGCCACUAACCUAACUAAAAAUGAAUAAGGUAUUAGAUAAUGGUUUAAGCUGCAACACUUUUCAGAAUGUCAGUAAGGCAUGCUUGGAGAUCUUCCUUCAAAGAUUUCUAUACUGAAAUAAAUGAAUGUCGAAAGUCAAAUGACUGCUAGUAACAAUUGGUACAUUUGACCAGUGGCCGCUAGGACUUGUGGGAGAGGCUCAGGUGUUAUUAUUAUCUAUCCCUGUCAAUAAAAUCUGUUCCUAAUUUCCUUGAGUGACUUUUCAUAUGAACAUAUAAUCAGGCUAUGUGCAUGUCCUUUUCAUGUUAUGCUAAUGAAGACUUCUGAAGAAGAAAGUAACCAAUAGUGAUUUUUUAAGCAGCUUUGCAUAUGUGAUGGGAGAAAUAUAUACACAAAAAAUUAUUCUGAAUGGCUUAUACUUAACCUGAAACUCUCUGAAAAAAAUUUACAAAAGAAAAAUCAUCACACAAUUGAUGAACUCCUUGAUGUCAUCAGGCUCUCUGAUUAGGUGUGAGUAUCCAUGGGACCCCUGAGUCCCUGAUAUCUAAAAGAUGAAACCAAUAGCUCAUCUCUCUCAAAGAAGCCAGAUUCUUGGGGCUCCUGCCUGGCUAUAGGCAUGAAGAGGUGGAAGAUGCCCAGAGUCACCAUGUAGCUAUCCACAGUUCACACUGGAAGACUUGAAAGUGAAAGGGAGUGUUAUUCAUAACUACACUGGGAAAGCAGGAUGAAACCAAGACUUUCCCAGAUGAACUGAGACAUAUGAUCUCCUUAGCAUUGCACUCUGUCCAGCUGGAUAGCUUGAUUUUUAAAUACUGCCUGGACCUCUUGGCAUCAGCAAAGAACAGGUUAGAUUGCCCCAAAGAGCACUCUGUAGAACAUGGCCCAUGCUACUACCUACAGUCUGGCAGCAUCACUGGCCUCUCUGCUACAAUAUGUUCUGAUCUUACUUGUAAUAAAAUAGGUCACGAGACUUAUUGAGUACAUUAAAAAAGAAGAGUUAUCUGGGUAGUGAACACACGUGGACCCAGGUCUCGAGUCUUUAGGAAUUGAUAGGUUUUACCAGAAGUCUUCUGGAGUUCAUUUUAGAAAGCAAAUCAUCAUUGAUGGCCUGACAUCAGCUGCUACCAAGUACCAAGGAUAGGAGGUGGGGAACUUGCUUUUGGCAAUGAUGUAUAGCACCUGCCUUAAGUUUGUGGGUGGGCACAUGCUGCUUUAACAGCUUGGGCAAGUGCCCCAAGGCUUCCCAGCAUGGCCUCUGGAGUCAGAGUGCUUGGGUGUUAAUCCCAAUUUGCUCACUUAGUAUCUGUGUAGGCAAGGCACUUAGCUGCCUCGUUCCUCAGUUGUCACAACUGUGAGAUGAAAAUAAUAACACUAACAACAUUUAUAGCCUUGUUUAAAAUAUUAGAAACUUGUAACAGUGACUGGCAAUGAAUAUUAAAGGAUCCCAUGGUACCUAUACCCUCAGUUCAUGACAAUGAGUAGAGCUGGAACAGCUGAAGCCCAUUAAAUAGCCCCCAUUGCUAAAACAUUUGUGUUUUACCAUCUCCUGGUGCAAUUUAUGUUGAUCAUUUUUCUGUUCCCUUAACAGCAGCUUGGUAAGGCACAUAUUUCCAGCUGAGAGAUCGGAUAGAG